CAGGGCAGGAUUGCUCUCUGUUUCAUACUGCUUGGCGCUUGUGUUUUGCUAGUUAAGGACAAAGCACUCUGCAAACAUUAAUUAACUUUCCAAAGACUAUGAGAAGCUCAGUUUUCAGAGGAAACACCCAGAGGACAGAGAUCUUAAACAAGGUCACACACACAUCAUCGUAUGCUCUGGGAGAAGAUCCUCAGGAGGUGGGGAAGAGCUUGAAUGGGGAUGUAGAGGGCACUGCUGAAGUGGCUGCUGAUCACCAGAGGAGAGAAGCCUUUUGCUGGGCCAAGAAAAGGAGAAGUGCCUCAGGAACAGUGGAGAUCAAGGAGCAGGCCGCAAGAUGCACUCAGAACAAUUAUAGCAGGAUGUGCAGAAAGAAAUGAAGAACUUAGCCAUGUGUGGAAAGGGUGGCGGUGAAUCCUGGACAUGGUUCUCCAAGCAACACUUUGCCAGCGUUCUGCAUAGCAGAAGAAACGCCUUCUCCAUCUUAUUACAUGCUCCACUUCUGUUCCCAAA
rnacentral:lncRNA from 1 species